rnacentral:rRNA from 1 species
GACGAACGCUGGCGGCGUGCCUAAUACAUGCAAGUCGAACGCUGAAGGAGGAGCUUGCUUCUCUGGAUGAGUUGCGAACGGGUGAGUAACGCGUAGGUAACCUGCCUGGUAGCGGGGGAUAACUAUUGGAAACGAUAGCUAAUACCGCAUAAGAGUAGAUGUCGCAUGACAUUUGCUUAAAAGGUGCAAUUGCAUCACUACCAGAUGGACCUGCGUUGUAUUAGCUAGUUGGUGAGGUAACGGCUCACCAAGGCAACGAUACAUAGCCGACCUGAGAGGGUGAUCGGCCACACUGGGGCUGAGACACGGCCCAGACUCCUACGGGAGGCAGCAGUAGGGAAUCUUCGGCAAUGGACGGAAGUCUGACCGAGCAACGCCGCGUGAGGGGAGAAGGUUUUCGGAUCGUAAAGCUCUGUUGUAAGAGAAGAACGAGUGUGAGAGUGGAAAGUUCACACUGUGACGGUAUCUUACCAGAAAGGGACGGCUAACUACGUG